GCGUCGGUGUAGCUCAGUGGUUACAUCAAACCUGAACUAUCAAGUUUCUAAACCGUGGCCUCACAGCCGCGGGUUCGACCACGGGCGCUGUCCGACGUUUUU
rnacentral:vault_RNA from 1 species